UACGUAGGGUGCAAGCGUUAAUCGGAAUUACUGGGCGUAAAGCGUGCGCAGGCGGUUUUGUAAGUCUGUCGUGAAAUCCCCGGGCUCAACCUGGGAAUUGCGAUGGAGACUGCAAGGCUAGAAUCUGGCAGAGGGGGGUAGAAUUCCACGUGUAGCAGUGAAAUGCGUAGAGAUGUGGAGGAACACCGAUGGCGAAGGCAGCCCCCUGGGUCAAGAUUGACGCUCAUGCACGAAAGGCGU
rnacentral:rRNA from 1 species